CACAGAAAACAUUCUGUGCAUAGCACUUAGGUUUUUUGCGUCUGGCCAUUUUUUGUACAGUGUGGGCGAUUCGGAGCAUGUGGGAAAGGCAACUGUGUGUCGAGCCGUUCGUUCAGUAUGUCUGGCACUUAAACAGUUCUUACCCACGUUUGUACAGUUCCCUGGCCAUAAACCUCUGUUUAUUAUUAAAGACGAAUUCCACAGAGUGGCAGGGUUUCCAAAUGUAAUUGGGUGCAUUGAUGGCACUCACAUUCCUAUUAAAGCUCCAUCAAUAAAUGAGAGAGACUAUGUUAAUAGGAAAUCUGUUCAUAGUAUCAAUGUGCAGGUAAUAUGUGAGGCAACCCAAAUAAUUACCAAUGUCGAGGCAAAAUGGCCAGGAUCUGUGCAUGAUGCCAGGCAUUU